CGCUGCACCUACCGCGCGGGCGUAUAGAUUCUAAUCUAAAUGUUAAACCACCAGCACGUGCGACCACUACAGAAAUAGUCGUUGCGUGAUAAAAAUCAUAAUUUAUAAUGUAAGGAGAAUAAAAUAAAAAUAAAAAUUUAUUUAUUUAUUUAUAAAAUCUAGACGAUAUAAUUACGGCAACGCCGAUCCGACGGAUUGCGAUUUUUCAAGCCCGGCGAAUUCUGGCUACAACUACGAUGCGAUCUACGGUAGAACUCGGACUCGUAGCUGGCUAUUCGUUGAAACAAAACAACGGAACUAUUAACAACGAAUUUUCACUGUUUGUAAACAAGAUCGCCCGUCCAUUUCGGGGGCUGCCAAAUUAGCCGAGUUAUCACAACAUAGUUUCGAACGACUUUAAAUUAAAAAAUUAAACCUCACCUCCACCGAUCCAUGCCCGAAUGAACGAUAUCUAGAUCGCAAAGAUGUGCGAUCACUGCUCAAAAGUCACCGGGCAGAAAGGCUACGGCGGUCAAGUCACAUGCAAAUGCGAAGGUGACCACAAAAAGGAAGAAAAGGAAGAAGCCAGCAAGGACAACGGCGGUUGUUGCGGUAAAAAAGUGGCGGAGAAAAAAAAAGAAACGAACGGCUGCUGCGGCGCCGCUUGCUGUUCAUCGGGGGUGGCCGUUGAGAAAAAAGAGGACAAGGGCGGAUGCUGCGCGGGAGGAGCACCACCUACCAAAAAGGAUGAGACGAGGCGAAACAGUCGCAGCUCCGCCGGCGGAGGUGGGGGAGGCGGCGGCGGCUGCUGUGCCGCGGGGAAAUAAUUUCGCCGCAACGUAUCGCGGUGCGCGACGACCGCACGUCGCGGACCUCAGGAAUCCCUCUAUUCACCCAUCAAUUUUAUCCAGCUGAAAAGCUCCUCGUCCGCCCCCCGACCCCCGACCCCCGACCCCCGACCCCCGCCCUCCCCGCCGCGCACCUCGACCGAGCUUUCGAGCGAGGGAGGAAGCUGGUGGAUGUUGCAAGUCGGGCUGCUGCAAAGACGGUAAAGAAGAUAAGAAAAAAGAAGA